GGGUGGUUAGCUUAUCGGUUAGAGCUUUGUGCUGCGCAGCCAAUUAUCACAAUUGAGAGGGGUUCGAUUCCUCUAUCACCCGCCA
rnacentral:tRNA from 3 species